rnacentral:rRNA from 1 species
UACGUAGGGCGCAAGCGUUGUCCGGAAUUAUUGGGCGUAAAGAGCUCGUAGGCGGUUUGUCGCGUCUGCUGUGAAAACCUAAGGCUCAACCCUGAGCUUGCAGUGGGUACGGGCAGACUAGAGUGCGGUAGGGGAGACUGGAAUUCCUGGUGUAGCGGUGAAAUGCGCAGAUAUCAGGAGGAACACCGGUGGCGAAGGCGGGUCUCUGGGCCGUAACUGACGCUGAGGAGCGAAAGCAUGGGGAGCGAACAGG